ACGUAGCAUACCCCCUGUAGCACAUGUGUCAAACUCAAGGCCCGCGGGCCAGAUGUGGCCCGCCACGGCAUUUUAUGUGGCCCGCGAGUGCUUAAUUGGUCUUAAAAUCUGUCUUAAAAUAGGUCUAUGCUGCUUUUAAGCGUGCAUUAACCAUAAACUACAUUUCCCACAAUGCAUGGUGAUUGUUACCCGCGAAGUGACGGCAUCUCGCCACUAGAUCGCAGGUGUAUCCAGUGUUUAAUUAAUGCUACAAGUGAAAUUGAGAAUAUCCACAAAUGAUCCCGAUAUGUCCAGGAAGAGAAAGAUUGAUGCAGAUGGAAGGCAGUUUCAAGAAAGAUGGGAAGGCGAAUACAUGUUUGUGCUUCAAGGAGAAAAACCGGUAUGUCUUUUGUGUUAUGAGGCGGUGUCGGUCGUCAAAGAGUACAAUCUACGUCGCCACUUUGACACCAAACAUGAAGCCAAGUAUGCCAAAGUUAGCCUUCAAGAAAAACAACAAAUUGAGGGCAAACUAAAAGGCAAACUGCGAUCGCAGCAGAAUGUGUUCACCAAAGCCACAACCAAAAACGAUGCAGCAGUGAAAGCUAGCUUUAUGGUGGCUGAAGAAAUCGCCCGCGCUUCAGUCUUUUUCAGAGGGUGCGUUUUUGAAGCAGUGCAUGCUGAAGGUGUGUGAGCAGGUGUGCCCCGACCAGAUACAGACUUUUAAAAAUGUCAGUUUGUCAAGAAACACCAUCGCGGACCGAGUCAAGGAGCUAGCAGCAAACCUGUCAACACAGCUGGCCGAAGAGUCACGCAGUUACACAGCUUUUUCAUUAGCUGUUGAUGAACGCACAGACAACACGGAUACGGCACAGCUAAGCUAAUAGAACAUGAUCAAUGGAUGAGGAUGGUGGAGGGGAUCCACUUGGUGUGUUCAAGGACAGGCAGCAUAUCCUCAUCAUUUUCAACUCAUAGUUGUGAACUGAGACAACCCUAUUUUAUUAUUUUGAGUUUAUUACAUAUACUGCUUUUUGUGUAGUAAUGUAUUUGUUGUUUACAGGUUUAUGCACACAAAUGUUUACUCCUGCAAGGCUGUGUGCAGCCAUUUGUUUUUGUAAAAUGCUACAUCUGUCACACAUGGUCUUAGCAGCUCACUAUAGUUGGUUGUACGUUAUUCUGACCCUCUCGACUGUGACAAUUUUUUUGAAGGAAGUUAAUGUGUUUUAAUAUUUUUCUUUGAAUAGUUUGAUCAUUGAUAAAUAGAGUAAUGUGGGUUUCUUAACCUGACAAAUUAAAAGGAUUUAUGUUAUAGUAACAGCAACAAGCAACACUUUUUUUUUUUUACAUCUAUGCAAAUGCAUAUGUAAUAUUUGUAACUAAGUAAUAAAUACAGAAAGUUAUUUAACAAUAUAUUACGGAGUAGUUACAUUUAUUUUACAUUAUAUUUGGUGACAUUUAGUUACAUUUAUACUGUACAGUUACAUCUGGCCCUUUGAGGGCAACCAUUAUGCUGAUGUGGCCCUCGGUAAAAAUGAGUUUGACACCCCUGCCCUGUAGCAUUCGCAUGGGUAGUUCAACGUGUGUCACUUAACCUCUAUCCGUUGAUGUUUACAUUGUUUUAUUAAAAUAAGGACGGCAAGGCAUGAGCUGAAUUCACUGUUUUCAUUUUUUUUAAAUUACAUACAGUGCAAAAGUCUUAGGCACCCUAGAUUUUUAAAUAUAAUAUAUAGUAUAUAUUUGGUCUUAGAUGUUUAUUUUUUGUUUUCUGCAUUAGUGUGUCAGUAGAAAAGAGCAAAUUUGAGAUUUCCUAACAUGAAUUUUCCCAAAAAUUAAAUUUUACAGAUACAUUUUUGUAUUUUGUUAAAGUAAUAUUUUAAGUAAUAGACUACUUUUCAAAUAAAAACUUGAUCAAGGGUCUCUAGAAUUACCUGGAGAGCCAGAUGCAAGCGAAACAGCCAAAAUCUGCAGAAGAACUGUGGCAAGUUCUCCACAAUGCUUGGAACAAUCUACCAGCCGAUUUUCUUAUAAAAGUGCAGGACGGUGUUCCUUAAGAGAAAUGAUGAAGUUUUAAAGGCGAAGGGUGGUCACACCAAACAUUAAUUUUAUUUAGUUUUUGUUCUUUAUAUUAUUUUUUCGAUAUUUAUAUCCUUUUAUUUCAUUAUUUUUGAAAGCAUCUUAUCAUUUUUUUCAGGUGCCUAAGACUUUUGCACAGCACUGUAGCUGUGAAAUACUAUGCUGUGAAUUUGUGAAUUUGAAGUCCAUUUUCUUCCAGUGUUGAACUGCGGUUCCCAUAGUGAGCUCUAAAAGCCAUAUUUAAAAAAAAAAAAAAAUUGCUCCACAAUUUUAGAUUUCCGAUGGUUAAAGUGCAGAUUCUGAGCUUUUAUUACAGGGUAUUUAAAUACCUUUUGGUUUCACCCUGUAGAAACAACAUAGUAACCCCCCCUCCCCCAUUUCAGGGCACCAUAAUGUUUGGGACAAAUGGCUUCACAGGUGUUUCUGAUUGGGCAGGUGUGUUCAGUUGCUUCUUUAGUGUACGUACAAGAGAGCUUUCAGUAUCUAGUCUUAAUUCUAGGCUUUCCAUUUCCUUUGGAGUCUUAUUGGCAGUUGUCAGCAUAAGGACCAGAGUUGUGCCAAUGAAAGACAGGGAAGUUAUUAUUAGGCUGAGAAAUAUGGAAAAAAACAGAGACAUAGUCCAGACCUCCGGCUUACCAAAAUCUACAGUUUGAAACAUCAUCAAGAAGAUAGAGAGCACUGGUGAGCUCAGUAAUUGCAAACGGCCUGGUAGGUUAAGGAAGAACUAUACAGUUUAUGACUGAAGAUUUCUCUCCAUAAUUGAGAAGCACAUGUCUGACAGAUCAAAAACACUCUUGAAAAAAGGAUAGCCAAGUGACAGUUUGGUACUUCAGAGACUAACCAAAAACACCUGUGAAGCCAUUUGUCUCAAAAAAUUAUGCCACCCUGAAAUUUAGGGGGGCGGGGCAUGUAUAAAAAGUACUGUAAUUUCUGCAUGGUGGAACCAAAAUGCAUAAAUAUACCCUUUAAUAAAAACUGAGAAUCUGCACUUUAACUACAUGUGAAUGUGGUUAACGUGCAGAUAUUUCUUUAUCAAACAGUGUGGAGCUCACUGUAUAAUAUGAUCUGCCUUCCUAGUUAUUAACCAAGGCCUGUCUGUUCACAAAUGACAGUCAUUGUACCUCUCGGAGAGUGACAUCGCGUUCUGUCGAUGACAUUGGCGUUCACAUGAACUUGCAUCUCGGAACUCUGCUACACUCU